UGCCGUGCUAGGUGGGGAGGUAGCGGUGCCCUAUACUCGCAAUCCGCUAUAGCGAGACGGAAUCCCCGUCUGAGGUGUAUAGCUUUAAGGUCUGCCAUAAGGAAUUGGUGUUGAUGUUUGGGUCCUGCGCAACGGGAACCCGUGAAUUCUGUCAGGUCCGGAAGGAAGCAGCAGUAAGCGGUCUUUCUCGUGUGCCGCAGAGCAACCUGAACUGAGCCAUGAACUUAUGUAACGCUUGGGGCUAUAGCAUCGACGACGGGUGCACGGUG
rnacentral:SRP_RNA from 1 species